rnacentral:rRNA from 1 species
GUGCAGCAGUCGCGAAUACUUUACAAUGUGCGAAGCACGAUAAGGGAACUCUGAGUGCCUCCUAAGGAGGCUGUUCAGGUGUCUAAAAGCACCUGAAGGAAGGGCUGGGUAAGACCGGUGCCAGCCGCCGCGGUAACACCGGCAGCCCAAGUGGUAGCCACGUUUAUUGGGUCUGAAGCGUCCGUAGCCGGCUGGGUAAGUUCCUUGGGAAAUUUGGCUGCUUAACAGUCAAGCUUUCAGGGAAUACUGCCCGGCUUGGGGACCGGGAGAGGUCAGAGGUACUCCAGGGGUAGGGGUGAAAUCCAUUAAUCCUUGGGGGACCACCGGUAGCGAAGGCGUCUGACCAGACCGGGUCCGACGGUGAGGGACGAAGGUUAGGGGCGCGAACCGGAUUA